rnacentral:rRNA from 1 species
AGAGUUUGAUCCUGGCUCAGGACGAACGCUGGCGGCGUGCUUAACACAUGCAAGUCGAACGGAAAGGCCCGCUUGCGGGUACUCGAGUGGCGAACGGGUGAGUAACACGUGGGCAACCUGCCCUCAGCUUUGGGAUAACCCCCGGAAACGGGAGCUAAUACCGAAUAUUGAUCUCGCACCGCAUGGCGCGAGCUUGAAAGUUUUUCGGCUGAGGAUGGGCCCGCGGCCUAUCAGCUUGUUGGUGGGGUAAUGGCCUACCAAGGUGACGACGGGUAGCCGGCCUGAGAGGGCGACCGGCCACACUGGAACUGAGACACGGUCCAGACUCCUACGGGAGGCAGCAGUGGGGAAUAUUGCGCAAUGGGCGAAAGCCUGACGCAGCGACGCCGCGUGAGGGAUGACGGCCUUCGGGUUGUAAACCUCUUUCGACAGGGACGAAUCUGACGGUACCUGUAGAAGAAGCACCGGCUAACUACGUGCCAGCAGCCGCGGUAAU